rnacentral:rRNA from 1 species
CGAUAUCAAUAAGCGGAGGAAAAGAAACUAACAAGGAUUCCCCUAGUAACGGCGAGUGAAGAGGGAAAAGCUCAAAUUUUAAAUCUACCUGGUUCCCAGGUCGAGUUGUAAUUUGAAGAAGCGAUAUCGGUGUGGAGGUCUGGUUCAAGUUCUUUGGAACAAGACAUCAUGGAGGGUGAGAAUCCCGUGCAUGAUCAGACCAAGAUACCUAAUAUUCGUUUUCUAAGAGUUGAGUUGUUUGGGAAUGCAGCUCAAAAUGGGUGGUAGACUUCACCUAAGGCUAAAUAUCAGCGAGAGACCGAUAGCGAACAAGUACUGUGAAGGAAAGAUGAAAAGAACUUUGAAAAGAGAGUUAAAUAGUACGUGAAAUUGUUGAAAGGGAAACGAUUGAAGUCAGUUAUGCUAGUGAAAAUUCAGUUUGGCGGGUUUUUAAGUUUAGGAGUAGGAGGCAAACCUCUCUUUUGAACUUUUAAUCUGUCAGAUGCACUUUUUCUUUAGCAGGUCAGCGUCGAUCUCGGAGGUUGUAAAAUACUUGGGGGAAAGUAGCUCUGCUUCAGGAGAGUGUUAUAGACCCUGGGGGAUGCAGCCUGCGGGAUCGAGGAUUGCAGCAAAUGCUUUUUUGGCUUGUCGCCUGAUCUCUGGACGUUACCUCGCUCGUGACAACAUUCUUGCCACCGGUGAGUACUAAUGGCUAUUAGGUUAGAGCGAUCAAAAAUAUUGCUUAAGGAUGUUGACGUA